AAUGAACGCUGGCGGCGCGCCUAAUACAUGCAAGUCGAGCGAGAAGACGUAGCAAUACGUUUGUAAAGCGGCGAACGGGUGAGGAAUACAUGGGUAACCUACCCUCGAGUGGGGAAUAACUAGCCGAAAGGUUAGCUAAUACCGCGUACGCUUCUUGGACUUCGGUUCAGGGAGGAAAGCGAUACCGUGGGUAUCGCGCUCUUGGUUGGGCUCAUGUCCUAUCAGCUUGUUGGUGAGGAACGGCUCACCAAGGCUUCGACGGGUAGCUGGUCUGAGAGGACGAUCAGCCACACUGGCACUGCGACACGGGCCAGACUCCUACGGGAGGCAGCAGUAAGGAAUAUUGCGCAAUGGGCGAAAGCCUGACGCAGCGACGCCGCGUGGGGGAUGAAAGUCUUCGGAUUGUAAACCCCUUUCGGGAGGGAAGAUGGAACGAGCAAUCGUUCGGACGGUACCUCCAGAAGCAGCCACGGCUAAC
rnacentral:rRNA from 1 species